GACAGAGGGUGCAAACGUUGUUCGGAAUUACUGGGCGUAAAGCGUCUGUAGGUGGCUUUUUAAGUCCGCCGUCAAAUCCCAGGGCUCAACCCUGGACAGGCGGUGGAAACUACCAAGCUGGAGUACGGUAGGGGCAGGAGGGAAUUUCCGGUGGAGCGGUGAAAUGCGUAGAGAUCGGAAAGAACACCAACGGCGAAAGCACUCUGCUGGGCCGAAACUGACACUGAGAGACGAAAGCUAGGGGAGCGA
rnacentral:rRNA from 1 species